rnacentral:misc_RNA from 1 species
UCUACAGAUGUUGUUGGAGAGUUGUGUGUUAGAAGCCCUUGCCUGUUUAAAGAAUACUGGAAACAGCCUAAGAUAACAAAGGAAUCCUUCACUGAUGAUGGCUUCUUCAAGACUGGGGACACAGUUACAGUGGAUGCUGAUGGGUACUACAUAAUUUUGGGACGUUCGAAUGCUGACAUUAUGAAAGUAGGUGGCUAUAAACUAUCAGCAUUGGAUAUUGAAG